CAGCACUGUCAAAAAAGGCUAAGAAUGGUUUCACGCUAAACCAGCCCAGCCCUGCGGCUGAUUAGUGGAAACCACUGCAAGGUAAUUUGUUAUUCAUACUUAUCCAUCUGCCUCCUGCUGGGCCGAGAUAAAGAGAUACACAAUUUCCUUCUUGUUUGUAUCGUUAUUUCCGUCCAUCGAGGCAAUCAAGGCAAGUCUGGAUGGAAAGAAAAAAAAAAAAAAAAAGUAGUGUUUGCUGUUCUUUUAGAGGAGCAUUCCCGGGCAAACAGAUUUUAUAUGGGAAAAGUGAGGUGUGUCUGAACCCAUGCCAGCGUGUCCUGCACUUGCUUCUCACUAAUCAGAAAGCUUUGGACCAGCAGAAAAGCCCAGCAUCCCUGGGGGAGCAGUGUGUGCAGUACCUCUGGAGGCUCACAUCCCUGCUGUAACUUGUGCACAUCUGUCACUGCUAGAGCCAGUGACAGGACUGAUGCUUCAAAUGGACAUCAUUCAACUAAAAAUGUUGGUCCUGGGGACUCCAGCUGUAGUGAAAUCUGACAAAGAUGGUGUCUCUGGGGUAAAAGUACCAUUCUCUUUGAAUUCACUGGGACCCUAAAAAAUUCCUCACUCAACUCACAGCAAAAAGACAAAAAAACGGAACAAACCCCCAGAACAACAACAAAACAAAAAAAAAAAAAACUCAGCAGGUUUAGGCCCUUUGUAAGUCUGAUGAAUGAGUGAUUUGACAGUUUCUUGCAAAAUCCUGCAAAAUGUUGAGGGUUCCCCUUCACUCUUACAAAGAAAAGAAAGCCAAAGAUCCACCAAAGAGUUCAAAGUCUGCUGAGGGGUGGGAGCAGCCAAAUUAAUGAGGUCAUGUUCAGAGUGAGAUAACUGUCCAGAUCUCAUUCUGAAAAUGAGUUUCCUUUCUGGUAUGCAUGUGAAACCUUUCAGUUUCUCAACUGACUUUUUUCAGCCAUUCUAUGCUUGCCAGGCUGCUGCCUCAGACAAACAUGAUAAAUAAAAGAAGUUUGCUGAAUAGAUAGUUUUCUGAC
rnacentral:lncRNA from 1 species